UGCCAGCCGCCGCGGUAAUACGGAGGGUCCAACCGUUAUCCGGAUUUAUUGGGCGUAAAGCGCGUGUAGGCGGUUCGUUAAGUCUGAUGUGAAAGCCCGGGGCUCAACCCCGGAAGUGCAUUGGAUACUGGCAGACUUGAGUACGGGAGAGGGAAGUGGAAUUCCGAGUGUAGGAGUGAAAUCCGUAGAUAUUCGGAGGAACACCGGUGGCGAAGGCGGCUUCCUGGACCGAUACUGACGCUGAGACGCGAAAGCGUGGGGAGCAAACAGGACUAGAUA
rnacentral:rRNA from 1 species